rnacentral:rRNA from 1 species
UAACCUGCCCAAGAGAUCGGGAUAACACCUGGAAACAGAUGCUAAUACCGGAUAAUAACAGAUGAUGCCUAUCAACUGUUUAAAAGAUGGUUCUGCUAUCACUCUUUGGAUGGACCUGCGGUGCAUUAGCUAGUUGGUAGGGUAACGGCCUACCAAGGCGAUGAUGCAUAGCCGAGUUGAGAGACUGAUCGGCCACAUUGGGACUGAGACACGGCCCAAACUCCUACGGGAGGCAGCAGGU